GACGAGCCACCCGAACGUUAUUCGGAAUUACUGGGCGUAAAGGGCGCGUAGGCGGCCACCGCAAGUCGACUGUGAAAUCUCUGGGCUUAACCCAGAACGGUCAGCCGAUACUGCGGGGCUAGAGUGCAGAAGGGGCAACUGGAAUUCUCGGUGUAGCGGUGAAAUGCGUAGAUAUCGAGAGGAACACCUGCGGCGAAGGCGGGUUGCUGGGCUGACACUGACGCUGAGGCGCGAAAGCUAGGGGAGCGAACGGG
rnacentral:rRNA from 1 species